rnacentral:lncRNA from 1 species
GGGAGUCACGUGACCGGGGCGCGCCGCAGCCGCCGGGGCGCACCCGGCGAGAGGCAGCGGCAGUGAUGGACGGGUCCGGGGAUCAUCUCGGAGGCGGCGGUGAGGCGGGAGGCGGAGAACUAGGCCGGGUCCAAGGACCCCAGGACCCCUCCGGCUGUGGGCUCGGGCGGGGGCUGGCUGGGGCGCGCGGAUCCAUUCCGACCGGCGCAUCCGCACCCUGUGAGCGGACAUCCGCGUGCGCGCCCCCGGGCAGGCCCGGGCUUGUCGCUGGCGCCACUUCCUGCUGGUGGCCUGGGAUGGAUCGGAAGGCCAGCGCCAUCCCCCCAGCUGGGGGUCUGUUUGCUUUAGGGAUUCCGCAGUCUGGGUUAGCAGAGGAGCUGGGAUGCAGGUUGGGUCCCGCCCCCUGUCCAUCAGAAGCAGUAGCCCUACUUGUCACUACUAGGGUCCCCAGCUCUGUCUCCCCUCAGGGUUAUGAGCCUACUCAGCCCCCUGACUCUCCCUGGGACCCAGGAGUCCAGGCACCCCUUUCCUCCUCUCUCCACCAGGGCCCACCAGCUCUGAACAGAUCAUGAAGACAGGGGCCUUUUUGCUACAGGGGUGAGUGUGAGGCCCUAUUGUGGUGGGAUGGGCUUCAGGAACAACACUUGGUUCUCACUUUGUGCUCCUAUCCCCGUGUCCAUUCACAUCUAGUUUCAUCCAGGAUCGAGCAGAGAGGAUGGCUGGGGAGACACCUGAGCUGACCUUGGAGCAGCCGCCCCAGGACGCAUCCACCAAGAAGCUGAGCGAGUGUCUCAGGCGAAUUGGCGAUGAACUGGACAACAACAUGGAGCUGCAGAGGAUGAUUGCUGAUGUGGAUACAGACUCCCCCCGAGAGGUCUUCUUCCGUGUGGCAGCUGACAUGUUUGCAGACGGCAACUUCAACUGG